AAACUUAUGAAAUUAAACCGUCCUUUCGUCAUUACAACGCCAUGACUUUUUUAAAUGAUACAUUGGAAUAUCGACAAACCGUUACAUCCUUGAAAAAAUCAAUAGUU
rnacentral:lncRNA from 13 species